UCGUACGACGAGUUUGAUCCUGGCUCAGAAUGAACGCUGGCGGCAGGCCUAACACAUGCAAGUCGAGCGAGGACUUCGGUCCUAGCGGCGGACGGGUGAGUAACGCGUGGGAAUAUGCCCUUUGGUACGGAAUAGCCUCGGGAAACUGGGAGUAAUACCGUAUGUGCCCUUCGGGGGAAAGAUUUAUCGCCAAAGGAUUAGCCCGCGUUGGAUUAGGUAGUUGGUGGGGUAAUGGCCUACCAAGCCGACGAUCCAUAGCUGGUUUGAGAGGAUGAUCAGCCACACUGGGACUGAGACACGGCCCAGACUCCUACGGGAGGCAGCAGUGGGGAAUCUUAGACAAUGGGCGCAAGCCUGAUCUAGCCAUGCCGCGUGAUCGAUGAAGGCCUUAGGGUUGUAAAGAUCUUUCAGAUGGGAAGAUAAUGACUGUACCAUCAGGAGAAGCCCCGGCUAACUCCGUG
rnacentral:rRNA from 1 species